ACGAACGCUGGCGGCAGGCCUAACACAUGCAAGUCGAGCGCCUCGCAAGAGGAGCGGCGGACGGGUGAGUAACGCGUGGGAACGUACCCUCUUCUACGGAAUAGCCUCGGGAAACUGGGAGUAAUACCGUAUACGCCCUUUGGGGGAAAGAUUUAUCGGAGGAGGAUCGGCCCGCGUUGGAUUAGGUAGUUGGUGGGGUAAUGGCCUACCAAGCCGACGAUCCAUAGCUGGUUUGAGAGGAUGAUCAGCCACACUGGGACUGAGACACGGCCCAGACUCCUACGGGAGGCAGCAGUGGGGAAUCUUAGACAAUGGGCGCAAGCCUGAUCUAGCCAUGCCGCGUGAGCGAUGAAGGCCUUAGGGUUGUAAAGCUCUUUCAGGGGGGAAGAUAAUGACUGUACCCCCAGAAGAAGCCCCGGCUAACUCCGU
rnacentral:rRNA from 1 species